rnacentral:sRNA from 1 species
AAGAAAAUCUGUCUUGAGGAGGGUUUGUAUAGGGUCUACUUGCUUUGAAUUUACUUGGCACUUUCUGUACCGUCAGGAGCCCAGCAUAGGGCUGUUAGAGAGAGAAAACUGACAAGAGGGGGUUUAUCCAGAGUUUCUUCAGUUCCUUUGUAGUCAGACCUGUGGACCACAGGCAGGGUUCUCUUUUAUGCUUCUUAUUGUAGAGAAGGCACAGUUCAGGUUACAACAAUGCCCUAAAGUUUCUUCACAGUAGUGAAUUUCUUCACAGUAGUGUAUCCUUCUUUUAAAGUCGUCUUCCCAAUUUUGAAACACUAAAGCUCUUUCUCCCACUUCCUGCCCACCACGCACUUAAAAGUCCCUCCCCUCACCCCCACAGGCUUAUUGUGUUAGCUUAGAAACUGUCAGAAAACGCAAGUGAAAUUGUGCACAGCUGGACUUUUGACAAAUGUGUUCACCCCUGGUUCUUCCACAAUUAAGACAGGCCGUUUCCACCAAGAUAUUCAGGAGAGCUGACUUUAAAAGAUAAACAAUACAACGUAUUCCAUCCUAACAUUUCUAACUAGCUCCUGGGACACUUGCUCUAAGGUAGAAGUUGAUUUUACAGAACUCAAAAGAAAUAAAUGUUCGAAAAGUUAAUGGCUUAUGUAGUAACGGUAUGCAGUUAAAUAAUUAACUUCGCAGAGGAACUUUGCUUCAGUUACAGCAGCAGAUUAUAAUAAGAGAGAGCAAUAAGGGGAAGUCUGAGCGGUUUUUAAAUUCUUUGGCAUGCUGAAGUUUCCAAGAGACCACUCUGUGCAUUUUGGAGUCUUGAUUUCUUUGUCUUCCUUGCUUCUCUUUUUGUCCCCCUUAAUACCCCUGUAUGGCAUCUGCGUAUUCUCCUAUCAAAAUAAAUGCUACUCUGAGGUGAUUUAGGAAGGUACCAGCAGAACCCUUUCUUCAGGGUCAGAUUACGUGUGAGUCUGUGCACGUCUGGGCAACACCGAACAAAUGGAGAGUCUUAGAUCAAAUGAUUAAAACUUUCCCUGACCAGGGAAAGUGUCUGCUUCCCAGUGCAGAGAUGGUCUGAAACUGUCUUACCUUGUUCCUGGAGAAGAACACGUUGAUAUUUGCAUAAAUUCAGAGGCUGGACAACCUCAGAAUUGUGCCUUUUAGGUAGGCUUUCCCGUUGGUCUUAGGGUUGGCACGGAUCGGGGUGAGUUGUCACUCUGGCUGGUUUUUGUUCAAUUAUCUACUUUCCAGUAAUUUGUGCCUCUUUCUUUUCCCUCCCUGAUUGGCUGUCAGUCCCCCAGGAAUCUCUACUUGCUGGUCCUGCUUUCUCUUUCUCCUUAUCUUUUCCUCACAGAGUUAACAGGAACAGAAGAAAGUCCUCUCCUAGCUUCUUUCUUAUUUUGCAUCUCUAUAUUGCUAACGAUUUAAGGAUCUUUACAUACGAUACAACCGAGUCUUAUUAAAAGUGCAUUUUACGGAUGCACUUAAUUUUCAUUGAGAAGGCCAAGCGAACGGACUCGACCCGGGGAUCUUCAAUGGGCAGGGCACAUCUUCGAGAUUAAUUUCCUUCAUUAUUUGGCAGAUGCAAUAUUGGCCAGUUGCUUCAAAGCUCUCCACUGUGGCUUCUGCCGUGAGGAAUUGCAACUUGGAACCGUGAGCAGAAAUAAACCUAUUCCCAAUUAA